rnacentral:rRNA from 1 species
UAUACAUGCAAGUCGAACGGCAGCACAGCAGAGCUUGCUCUGUGGGUGGCGAGUGGCGGACGGGUGAGGAAUACAUGGGAAUCUGCCCAGUCGUGGGGGAUAACGUAGGGAAACUUACGCUAAUACCGCAUGCGCCCUUCGGGGGAAAGCCGGGGACCUUCGGGCCUGGCGCGAUUGGAUGAGCCCAUGUCGGAUUAGCUAGUUGGCGGGGUAAUGGCCCACCAAGGCGACGAUCCGUAGCUGGUCUGAGAGGAUGAUCAGCCACACUGGAACUGAGACACGGUCCAGACUCCUACGGGAGGCAGCAGUAGGGAAUAUUGGACAAUGGGCGCAAGCCUGAUCCAGCCAUGCCGCGUGAGUGAAGAAGGCCCUCGGGUUGUAAAGCUCUUUUGUCCGGAAAGAAAAGCGCCGGGUUAAUACCCUAGUGUCCUGACGGUACCGGAAGAAUAAGCACCGGCUAACUUCGUGCCAGCAGCCGCGGUAAUACGAAGGGUGCAAGCGUUACUCGGAAUUACUGGGCGUAAAGCGUGCGUAGGUGGUUUGUUAAGUCUGAUGUGAAAGCCCUGGGCUCAACCUGGGAAUUGCAUUGGAUACUGGCAGGCUAGAGUGCGGUAGAGGGUAGUGGAAUUCCCGGUGUAGCAGUGAAAUGCGUAGAGAUCGGGAGGAACAUCUGUGGCGAAGGCGACUACCUGGACCAGCACUGACACUGAGGCACGAAAGCGUGGGGAGCAAAACAGGAUUAGAUACCCUGGUAGUCCACGCCCUAAACGAUGCGAACUGGAUGUUGGGCUCAACUUGGGAGCUCAGUAUCGAAGCUAACGCGUUAAGUUCGCCGCCUGGGGGAGUACGGUCGCAAGACUGAAACUCAAAGGGAAUUGACGGGGGGCCCGCACAAGCGGNGGAGUAUGUGGUUUUAAUUUCGAUGCAACGCGAAGAACCCUUACCUGGGUCUUGACAUCCACGGGAACUUUCCCAGGAGAUGGGAUUGGNGCCCUUCGGG